rnacentral:rRNA from 1 species
UACGAAGGGGGCUAGCGUUGCUCGGAAUCACUGGGCGUAAAGCGCACGUAGGCGGCUUUCUAAGUCAGGGGUGAAAUCCUGGAGCUCAACUCCAGAACUGCCUUUGAUACUGGAGAGCUUGAGUCCGGAAGAGGUGAGUGGAACUCCGAGUGUAGAGGUGAAAUUCGUAGAUAGCAUAACGACUGGUAACGGCGAAAGCAACCUUUUAUCUAAUAACUGACGUUGAGGGACGAAGGCUCGGGUAACGAACAGG